rnacentral:rRNA from 1 species
GACGAACGCUGGCGGCGUGCUUAACACAUGCAAGUCGAACGAAGAGCGAUGGAAGCUUGCUUCUAUCAAUCUUAGUGGCGAACGGGUGAGUAAAGCGUAAUCAACCUGCCCUUCAGAGGGGGACAACAGUUGGAAACGACUGCUAAUACCGCAUACGAUCUAAUCUCGGCAUCGAGGAUAGAUGAAAGGUGGCCUCUACAUGUAAGCUAUCACUGAAGGAGGGGAUUGCGUCUGAUUAGCUAGUUGGAGAGGUAACGGCCCACCAAGGCGAUGAUCAGUAGCCGGUCUGAGAGGAUGAACGGCCACAUUGGGACUGAGACACGGCCCAGACUCCUACGGGAGGCAGCAGUGGGGAAUCUUCCGCAAUGGACGAAAGUCUGACGGAGCAACGCCGCGUGAGUGAUGACGGCCUUCGGGUUGUAAAGCUCUGUUAAUCGGGACGAAAGGCCUUCUUGCGAACAGUUAGAAGGAUUGACGGUACCGGAAUAGAAAGCCACGGCUAACUACGUG